rnacentral:rRNA from 1 species
CCUACGGGAGGCAGCAGUGGGGAAUAUUGGACAAUGGGCGCAAGCCUGAUCCAGCCAUGCCGCGUGUGUGAAGAAGGUCUUCGGAUUGUAAAGCACUUUAAGUUGGGAGGAAGGGCAGUAAGCGAAUACCUUGCUGUUUGACGUUACCGACAGAAUAAGCACCG